UUCGAUUUAUAAAUGACUCUCCUGUGUCUGACUAACGCACGUGCCCUCCCUGUGUGUGUGUGUGUGUGUGUGUGUGUAGGCUCUCCGACAACUCCACGCUGACAACUCUGGAUGCACUUAAAGCUCGGAUACGGGAUUUGGAGAAACAGUUGUCCAAAGGAGACAGAUUUAAAUGCCUCAUCUGCAUGGACACGUACACAACUCCGCUCACCUCCAUCCAGUGCUGGCACGUUCACUGUGAGGAGUGUUGGCUUCGUACACUGGGAGCAAAGAAGUUGUGUCCUCAGUGCAACACCAUCACUUCACCUGGAGACCUGAGGCGGGUUUACCUGUGACGGGGAGGAGCUUCUUCUGUUGUAGCCAGUCGGGGGUGGACUUGUGGGCAGCUGGCCUGCCGUGGACUGCCAUCCUCUUCCUCCUUGGUUCAGUGUGCUCCUGAAUUCUGAAUGAAGAGUCGCAAACGAUCAUCCGUGACAGCCCUGUAUAAUAGCAAUGUUGCUGCAACAUCGACCAGAUCCAGAAGAAACAUCUAGAACCCACUGAGAUCUCAGGCACUGAACAAAACAAAAGAAAGAAAAUACAGAGAGAAAUGUUUUUGGAC